rnacentral:rRNA from 1 species
UACGUAGGGUGCGAGCGUUGUCCGGAAUUAUUGGGCGUAAAGGGCUCGUAGGCGGUUUGUCACGUCAGGAGUGAAAACUCGGGGCUCAACCCCGAGCCUGCUUCUGAUACGGGCAGACUGGAGGUAUGCAGGGGAGAACGGAAUUCCUGGUGUAGCGGUGAAAUGCGCAGAUAUCAGGAGGAACACCGGUGGCGAAGGCGGUUCUCUGGGCAUUACCUGACGCUGAGGAGUGAAAGUGUGGGGAGCGAACAGG